rnacentral:lncRNA from 1 species
AUACUCAAUUAUCUUAGUUUUAACAUUGUCAGAAUGUAUCACCCUCUGAAACUUACAAAUAAACAAUAUAUGUACGGGACAGCUAAUCCAGAAAUGCAGUAUUUCAGAAUUACUCAUUUAGAAUACCCAAAUAGAUGAAGAUAAAGAUUACAUAUUUAUUUCAAACUUAAAGAACCAUCCACACAUAGAUUUUAUACAUUUAAAAUGAAUGACAGACAAUCCACAGAGAAAGGUAAAAUCAGAAAGCACAUGCAAGCAAGCAGAUUUUCCAAUUAAUAACACUGAAAUUAUAUACAUAUUUAAGUAUAUAUAUGCAUAUAUAUAUACACACACACACAAAGACAUAUGUAUAUAUGUAUAUAAUUGAGACUACAAUACCCCAACAUUUGGAAACGACCUCUAUUGUACUUCAAUGAAAUGUGGUUAAAGGGAAAAUCAUUUAAAUGUUUUCUAACAUUUUAAAAUACUAGAUGUUAUAUUCUUCCAUAUGUAUGUAACAGUAUUUGAGGUUUUCGGGGGGGGGGGGGGGGGGGGGAAGUUAUUACUGAGCCAACAAGAAUGUUAACAUACAUAUGUGAAAAGAUUUAAACUUUAUUGCCAAGUAUGAUGGGAAGAAUUCAUGUAUUUCUAGAUGCUAAACUGAGAGAAAAAUGAAUUGUACAGAAAAGCCUCAAACAUAGCCUCUUUUACACAAGAAUUAUUUUAUCUGUUAAGGGGUGAAAUUUCCAAGUGAAGUUUCUUUACAAUAUGAGAAAGAAUAUUUUUCAUUUCCUUAAGUAUAAACAGUGAAUAUAUUUUUUGUUAGAUUUUAAUAAUUAGACCUAACAUUUUAGUAAACAUAUAGAAAAUAGUAACAAAUUAACUCACUAUCAUAUUCACUAACACAUUUUUAACAGAGAGGAAUCAAUCUAAUUGUUUCAGAGAGCAAAUUCCUGGAGGGAUUAAGGCACAGGUUAAAAAAAUGAUGACUCCCUUGACCUUGCAUUGACUAUUCUCUAUACCUGGAAUACCCUGCCAUUUACCUUGGAAUCUUUUUACUUAGAUUCCUUAAAAAUUCAGCUCAAGUCCCAUAUUUUACAAGAGACCUUUCCUUAAUCCCCACAGCUGUUGGUGUUAUUUCUCAGAGAUUCACCUUUUUUUAUCCUAUAUGAUUCUGUAUGCACCUAGUUAUUUACUUUUUGACUUACUAUCCAGGAACUGUUUUGCCUUUCUUUGCUUGCUGAGUACUUCACUUAGUUUUAGCAUAUAGUAAGCUCUUAAUACUUGUUGAUUUAUUAAAAAAAAAAAAAAAAAAAAAAAAAAAACUAAACAAACCUACUGGGCUGAAAGGAACAACUUUUGACAAGAAAGUGAAACUUCAGCUAUAGGAACAUAUCUAAAUUCUUAUGCUGAGAUUUUUCUUUACUUGCUCACUCUUUUUCAAAUGUAAAAAUCUGUAAUACGAGGCUGGGCUUUUCAAGUUAUUUUAUUUUGGCAUAUGUCUCUUCUCCCCCAGCAAUGGUUAAUCAUCAUGAGACAGUUUUAACAUGUUAGAAACUGCUGCAUCAGCACAAAAAUUUCUUUUAUUUAUUCCUUUUGAUUUUUUUUCUGAAGGAUGCCUAUUAAUCUUUAACCAUGGUAUGUAGUUUUUGGUUUGCCAAUAAGAAACCUGAUGCCAUUUCUCUAGUUUUUAAGUUUAUGGUCCUUUUCUUCCAAUGACUGUUCACAUUUUUGGUAUUUUUACUUCUUUAAUAUGAAGAUACCUUUACUUUUGAGAAUUCCCAUAAAAUUUAAAAUUUACAGAGUUCAAUUUCUUUUUUCUUGUUUCAAUUUAGAUUUCUAAUAGAUAAAGGAGAAGAACUACCAUAUUUCCCUUAUAAUUCUUAAUAAUGACUUGGAUCUUUAGAACAGCACAAAGGUCCAUUUUGAUAAACCAUGGUCUGCCUAGACAAAAAAGUCUUUUCCUACCAAUAAAUUUUCAAUUAUAAUAUUCCAUAGACUGCAUGCUUUCAUAUUUGGAUCACGUCAUAGUUUGUCCAUGAAGAACAAUUGGUUUCAGAAUCCAGUUUUGGUAAUAUUUUAAGCAUUAUCUGCUCCAAGAAGCUUUUUCUGAUCUUUUUAAUUUUAAAGUGAUCAUCUCCUUCUCCAAUAUUCCUGGAGUACUUUGGCUCUUUUUUUUGAUCCUAUCAUAUUCUACCUUAAACUAUAUUUCUGAACAUAUUAUGUAACUUACCACAGAGCAAGUUGUAAGCUGUGUGGGUGGGAUUGUUUUAUUUUUUUAUCUUGGUAUCCCUAGGGUACACAGAAUGUACUUUAAUAAAUAAAUUAAUGCCUGUUGAAAGAGGGUAAUCCAGGCAAGUGUUGGCUUACAGCUUUAAAAAAAAAAAAUUCUGGAGUCAAAAUCAAUCAGUCUACAGACAAAUAAGAGUAUUAAUAAAAACCCAAAUCAAGUAUUCAUUGAUUAUAGUGAUGAGGCACCUAGAUGGGCACAAUGGAUAGAGCACCGAAUCUGGAGUCAAAAAGACCUGAAUUCAAAUUUGACUUCAGAAACAACUUAUUAGAUGAAUGAUCCUAUGCAAGUCAAUUUGAUGUGGGAAAGAUUCCAAUCUUUGAUUCCCAACCCCCCCUAGUUAAUGUAAAUUACCCUUUGACUCACAAAUCCUGGUCCCUUUAAACUCCAAUAGAAGAUUUGGACUUGUCCCAGCCCCACCCGGAUCUGAACCAACUUUGGGGCUACACCCAAAAGCUCCUCGAGCUAAGUCUCCUACUAUAAAAGGGCCACGCUGGGAACCCCUCUUUGCAGAGAUUCCAAACAUGCCAGCCAUGUGAGGACCCUCUGUCCACUGGACCCUCUGUCCAGUGCCCUCCUUAUCUCUACCUUCACCUAUCUCCUACUUCUAAACUCAAUAAUAAACCUCUUUUAUCAAUCUAGCUCUCCGGGCUAAUAAAUGCUUUUAUUGGGGACUUGCGCCGCUACUAGACCUCAUUUACCGCAGUAUCCUUGCGCCGAAUCCAAGGGGGUUGCAGGGGAACUCUGUUUGACUUCCUGUACCCCAAACCUACCACUAGACCUUAACUAAACCCUAAUUUCAUUUAGGUACCCCAAAUCUAGACCUCAACAUUUGGUCUACACCUCAACAAAUUAACCUUUGUCUGCUUCAGUUUCAUCAACUGUAAAAUGGAGAUAAUAAUAACAACUACCUCCCAGAAUUGCUAUGAGGAUUAAAUAGAAAUAUUUGUGAAGUGCUUAUUAGCACAGUGCACACAGUAGGUGCUUAAUAAGUG